UACGUAGGGGGCAAGCGUUGUCCGGAAUUAUUGGGCGUAAAGAGCGCGUAGGCGGUCCGAUAAGUCGGCUGUGAAAGUCAGGGGCUCAACCCUUGAAAGCCGGCCGAUACUGUCGGACUAGAGUCCGGAAGAGGCGAGUGGAAUUCCCGGUGUAGCGGUGAAAUGCGCAGAUAUCGGGAGGAAUACCGGUGGUGUAGACGGCUCUCUGGACCGCCACUGACGCUGAGACACGAAAGCGUGGGUAGCAAACAGG
rnacentral:rRNA from 1 species